rnacentral:rRNA from 1 species
CCUACGGGUGGCUGCAGUGGGGAAUAUUGGACAAUGGGGGUAACCCUGAUCCAGCCAUGCCGCGUGUGUGAAGAAGGCCCUCGGGUUGUAAAGCACUUUCAGUGAGGAAGAACGCCUGGUGGUUAAUACCCAUCAGGAAAGACAUCACUCACAGAAGAAGCACCGGCUAACUCCGUGCCAGCAGCCGCGGUAAUACGGAGGGUGCGAGCGUUAAUCGGAAUUACUGGGCGUAAAGCGCGCGUAGGUGGCUUGAUAAGCCGGUUGUGAAAGCCCCGGGCUCAACCUGGGAACGGCAUCCGGAACUGUCAAGCUAGAGUGCAGGAGAGGAAGGUAGAAUUCCCUGUGUAGCGGUGAAAUGCGUAGAGAUCGGGAGGAAUACCAGUGGCGAAGGCGGCCUUCUGGACUGACACUGACACUGAGGUGCGAAAGCGUGGGUAGCAAACAGGAUUAGAUACCCGAGUAGUC